AUUGAACGCUGGCGGCAGGCCUAACACAUGCAAGUCGAGCGGAUGACGGGAGCUUGCUCCUUGAUUCAGCGGCGGACGGGUGAGUAAUGCCUAGGAAUCUGCCUGGUAGUGGGGGACAACGUUUCGAAAGGAACGCUAAUACCGCAUACGUCCUACGGGAGAAAGCAGGGGACCUUCGGGCCUUGCGCUAUCAGAUGAGCCUAGGUCGGAUUAGCUAGUUGGUGGGGUAAUGGCUCACCAAGGCGACGAUCCGUAACUGGUCUGAGAGGAUGAUCAGUGACACUGGAACUGAGACACGGUCCAGACUCCUACGGGAGGAAGCAGUGGGGAAUAGUGGACAAUGGGCGAAAGCCUGAUCCAGCCAUGCCGCGUGUGUGAAGAAGGUCUUCGGAUUGUAAAGCACUUUAAGUUGGGAGGAAGGGCAGUAAGCUAAUACCUUGCUGUUUUGACGUUACCGACAGAAUAAGCACCGGCUAACUCUGUGCCAGCCGCCGCGGUAA
rnacentral:rRNA from 1 species